CAGCCUCCGGAGUAGCUGGGAUUACAGGUGCCUGCCACCAUACCUGGCUAAUUUUUGUAUUUUUAGUAGAGACGAGGUUUCACCAUGUUGGCCAGGCUGGUCUUGAACUUCUGACCUCGUGAUCCACCCGCCUCGGCCUCCCAAAAUGCUGGGAUUACAGGCAUGAGCCACCGUGCCUGGCCUUAUGAUUCUAUUUAUAUGAAAUGUCCAGAAUAGGCAAGUCCAUGAGACAGCAGAUUAGAGUGGGGA
rnacentral:lncRNA from 1 species